UACGAAGGGGGCUAGCGUUGUUCGGAAUUACUGGGCGUAAAGCGAGUGUAGGUGGUUGUCGUAGUCAGGUGUGAAAGCCUUGAGCUCAACUCAAGAAAUGCACUUGAUACUCGGCGGCUAGAGGACCGGAGAGGAUAGUGGAAUUCCCAGUGUAGUGGUGAAAUACGUAGAGAUUGGGAAGAACACCAGUGGCGAAGGCGGGUCUCUGGGACGGUACUGACGCUGAGACGCGAAAGCGUGGGGAGCGAACAGG
rnacentral:rRNA from 1 species